rnacentral:tRNA from 1 species
AAAUAAGAAGCAACCACUGCAUUUAAUUUCGACUUAAAAGAAAGAGUUUAUUUUACUCCUUAUUUA